GCCCCCCUCAAGAUGAGACAUCACAAGACCCCUUGAAGAGUACAAGGUAGAUAGGCGUGAGGUGUAAGUGCAGUAAUGCAUUCAGCUGACACGUACUAAUCGGUCGGAAGCUUAUCCUU
rnacentral:rRNA from 1 species